rnacentral:rRNA from 1 species
CAUUUGGAAGGUUUUUGGUUUAAGAUAGAUUUUUUCCCUUACUUUUAAGUCUAUCAGCUGAAACAAGGGCUUCGGGAACGAGUGCAUAACGCGUGGAAUCAGCCGAAAUGUUCGGGCCAAAUCUAAAGUAAGCUAAAAAGCAUUGUUAAUGAGCCUGCGUAGUAUUAGGUAGUUGGUCAGUUAAAGGCUGACCAAGCCAAUGAUGCAUAGGUGGUUUGCCACAAUGGAACUGAGACACGGCCCGGACUCCCACGGGGGGCUACAGUGGGGAAUCUUGAACAAUGGGAGAAAGUCCGAUCCAGCAAUAUCGUGUAAGUAAAGAAGGGAAAUGCCGCCUGUAAAGCUCUUUCGUCAAGUGAGCAAUCAUGAAAGGACUCAAAGAAGAAGCCCCAGCUAAAUCCGUGCCAGCAGCUGCGGUAAGACGAGGGGGUAAGUGUUCUUUCGAAUGACUGGGCGUAAAGGGCACGUAAGCGGUCAAUCGGUGAUGCAUGGCUAUCGUUAUCUCGUGUCAUGAGAUGUUUGGUAAAGUCCUAUAACGAGUUAAACCCUCGUUUUGUAUUACUGAGACAUGCGCCUAAGGAGAAAGUCUUUGCAACCUGAAGUGAGCCGAGGAUCCGAGUGAUGUGUCAGCGCUACUAAUUGAGUGCCAGCACCUAGCUGUACUGUCAGUAUGAAAGCUGGUGCCUUUCGAAGCACUUUCUCUUUUUAGUUAGCAUUGUUUUAUUAUUGCAUCUACUGCGCUUGACUAAUAAGAUAGAAAGGGCCUUUCUAGCAUGUUUAGUAAAGUUAAUUUUUUGACCUUAUCUUGCAGGUGAAGAUGACAUCGAGUUGACGGCAGAUAAAGAGUCGGCAUUCAGGAGAGCCACCCGGUGGUGUGGUAAAUAGUGGGUUUAGUACGCCCAGCCCAAACAAACAGCUUCGAAACAAACAAAAAGGUGUGUGCCGCAAUCACGAAGGACUACCAGUAAUAUACUGGAGGAAAGUGGGGACGAUGUCAAGUCCUCAUGGCCCUUAUAUGCUGGGCAACACACGUGCUACAUUGACAAUUACAAUGGGAAGCAAGGCUGUAAGGCUGAGCAUAUCUGGAAAGAUUGCCUCAAUUUGGAUUGUUCUCUGCAACUCGGGAACAUAAAGUUUGAAUCACUAGUAAUUGCGGAACAACAUACCGCGGUGAAUAUGUGCCCGGGCCCUAAACACAUAGCCCGUCACACCCUGGGAAUUGGUUCACCCGAAGCAUCGGACCAAUGAUCACCCAUGACUUCUGUAGAAACAAAGUCCUUUGGUGGUCUUAUUGGAGCACACUACGGUGGGGUCUUCGACUGGGGUGAAGUCGUAAUAAGGUAGCCGUAGGGGAACCUAUGGCUGGAUUGAAUCGUUC